GACGAACGCUGGCGGCGUGCUUAACACAUGCAAGUCGAACGGAAAGGCCCUGCUUUUGUGGGGUGCUCGAGUGGCGAACGGGUGAGUAACACGUGAGUAACCUGCCCUUGACUUUGGGAUAACUUCAGGAAACUGGGGCUAAUACCGGAUAGGAGCUCCUGCUGCAUGGUGGGGGUUGGAAAGUUUCGGCGGUUGGGGAUGGACUCGCGGCUUAUCAGCUUGUUGGUUGGGUAGUGGCUUACCAAGGCUUUGACGGGUAGCCGGCCUGGGAGGGUGACCGGCCACCUGGGGACUGAGAGACGGCCCAGACUCCUACGGGAGGCAGAAGUGGGGAAUAUUGCACAAUGGGCGGAAGCCUGAUGCAGCAACGCCGCGUGCGGGAUGACGGCCUUCGGGUUGUAAACCGCUUUCGCCUGUGACGAAGCGUGAGUGACGGUAAUGGGUAAAGAAGCACCGGCUAACUACGUG
rnacentral:rRNA from 1 species